GGACGAACGCUGGCGGCGUGCCUAAUACAUGCAAGUCGAACGGUCUUUCAUGGAAGCUUGCUUCCACUGAGAAGAUAGUGGCGAACGGGUGAGUAACACGUGGGUAACCUGCCCAUAAGAGGGGGGAUAACAUCCGGAAACGGGUGCUAAUACCGCAUAGUUUUCUUGAUCGCAUGAUCGGGAAAGGAAAGACGGCCUUUGUGCUGGUCGCUUAUGGAUGGACCCGCGGCGUAUUAGUUAGUUGGUGAGGUAACGGCUCACCAAGACGAUGAGUACGUAGCCGACCUGACGAGGGUGAUCGGCCACAUUGGGACUGAGACACGGCCCAACUCCUACGGGAGGCAGCAGUAGGGAAUCUUCCGCAAUGGACGAAAGUCUGACGGAGCAACGCCGCGUGAGUGAAAGAAGGUUUUCGGAUCGUAAAACUCUGUUGUCAGAGAAGAACAAGUUGGAGAGUAACUGCUCCAGUCCUUGACGGUAUCUGACCAGAAAGCCACGGCUAACUACGUGCCAGCCGCCGC
rnacentral:rRNA from 1 species